GCGGUGCUCUCCUUCUGCACUGUGUUCAACCAUUGUGUCAAUAAUAAGUGCUGCUGUGAAGAGAACAAUUCUCAGACUGAAUGUUGAACAUCAGCUAGUUUCUCCUGUUGAUUGAAACCUUGUUGUACAGAUGGAACAUUGGCUGUGGAUUAUUCUUGCUGCUCUUUUCUUUGAGUGUAAAGGAGAAGACAAAGUGAUCCAGGAACAAGGAGAUGUCAUUGCUGCUGAAGGAGACACAGUUACACUUGGAUGUAGAUUUGAAACAACAAGAACAGGCCCCACUUUGUUCUGGUACAAACAGGAAGUAAAUAGUUACCCAAAGUAUUUGCUGAAUUUUAAGGCUGAAGAAUUCAACAACGACAGAUUUGAUGCUAAAAUCAACAAAACACAAAAGUCAGUUCCUCUGAAGAUCCAGAAGCUUCAGCUGUCUGACUCUGCUGUGUACUACUGUGCUCUG